rfam:Chelonia mydas contig163534, whole genome shotgun sequence.
AUUUUUACAGUGCCUAGCAGCUAAAAUCAAGGUGUAGUCUCUGUUCUUAUCAGUUUAAUAUCUGAUAUGUCCUUAAUUUGCGGACUGUAUAUUAAAUUGAUUUUUGAAACAGGGGGCUGGAAGAGGAGCUUACUUUGUCCACCCCAUGCAUUGACCUGGUAUUGCAGUGCCUCCGGGAAUAAAAAAAAGAAA